rnacentral:rRNA from 1 species
UACGGAGGGUGCUAGCGUUGUUCGGAAUUACUGGGCGUAAAGCGCACGUAGGCUGCGAUUUAAGUCAGAGGUGAAAGCCCGGGGCUCAACCCCGGAAUAGCCUUUGAGACUGGAUUGCUUGAACAUCGGAGAGGUGAGUGGAAUUCCGAGUGUAGAGGUGAAAUUCGUAGAUAUUCGGAAGAACACCAGUGGCGAAGGCGGCUCACUGGACGAUUGUUGACGCUGAGGUGCGAAAGCGUGGGGAGCAAACAGG